UACGUAGGCAGCAAGCGUUGUUCGGAGUUACUGGGCGUAAAGGGUGUGUAGGCGGUUGCUUAAGUUUGGUGUGAAAUCUCCCGGCUCAACUGGGAGGGUGCGCCGAAUACUGAGUGACUCGAGUGCGGGAGAGGAAAGUGGAAUUCCUGGUGUAGCGGUGAAAUGCGUAGAUAUCAGGAGGAACACCGGUGGUGUAGACGGCUUUCUGGACCGUAACUGACGCUGAGGAGCGAAAGCCAGGGGAGCAAACGGG
rnacentral:rRNA from 1 species